rnacentral:rRNA from 1 species
UGAACGCUGGCGGCGUGCCUAAUACAUGCAAGUCGAGCGAACGGACGAGAAGCUUGCUUCUCUGAUGUUAGCGGCGGACGGGUGAGUAACACGUGGAUAACCUACCUAUAAGACUGGGAUAACUUCGGGAAACCGUAGCUAAUACCGGAUAAUAUUUUGAACCGCAUGGUUCAAAAGUGAAAGACGGUCUUGCUGUCACUUAUAGAUGGAUCCGCGCUGCAUUAGCUAGUUGGUAAGGUAACGGCUUACCAAGGCAACGAUGCAUAGCCGACCUGAGAGGGUGAUCGGCCACACGGGAACUGAGACACGGCCCAGACUCCUACGGGAGGCAGCAGUAGGGAAUCUUCCGCAAUGGGCGAAAGCCUGACGGAGCAACGCCGCGUGAGUGAUGAAGGUCUUCGGAUCGUAAAACUCUGUUAUUAGGGAAGAACAUAUGUGUAAGUAACUGUGCACAUCUUGACGGUACCUAAUCAGAAAGCCACGGCUAACUACGUG